rnacentral:sRNA from 2 species
AUAUCUCUCCGUACGGGAAGGAUGAGAAGCUUCGACCAAGGUUCGAUUCGAGCGCAGCGAGAAAGCGUUGCCGCAGGCA